UUCUAUUGUCCUGAGCAGCCUCCUUGCUGCUGCGUUAUUCUUGCGGAGUGUUCCGGGGAGCGGUAUGGCAAAAAGUUCCAUUGUUUCUUUUCCAGCACCAAUCUUGUGGCAAGCCCUCGUGACUGCAGUAGGCUGCUGUCUUGCUUGCAGUCGAGCUUACUCUGAUCGCCACCGAGCCUUUCCUUGCACCUACUGAGUCGGAAGGGAACGCAGUGGAGCUCAGGACCUACAUCGACUCCGUCAAAAAAAGGAAGCUGGGAAGCACUCUUUAUUGGAGCUUGAAGACAAUAGUUUUCAAGCGAUUACAUUGACUUUAUAAAUGAAGCUUAACUAAAAUUUAGAGCAA